UAAACAAAUAACAAAAUUGAGUUAUACUCAAACUUUUAAAAUGAGAGUUUGAUCCUGGCUCAGGAUG
rnacentral:rRNA from 1 species